GACGAACGCUGGCGGCGUGCUUAACACAUGCAAGUCGAGCGGAAAGGCCCUGCGUUUGUGGGGUGCUCGAGUGGCGAACGGGUGAGUAACACGUGAGUAACCUGCCCUUGACUUUGGGAUAACUUCAGGAAACUGGGGCUAAUACCGGAUAGGAGCUACUGCUGCAUGGUGGGGGUUGGAAAAUGUCGGCGGUUGGGGAUGGACUCGCGGGUUAUCAGCUUGUUGGUGGGGUAGUGGAUUACCAAGGCUUUGACGGGUAGCCGGCCUGAGAGGGUGACCGGCCACAUUGGGACUGAGAUACGGCCCAGACUCCUACGGGAGGCAGCAGUGGGGAAUAUUGCACAAUGGGCGGAAGCCUGAUGCAGCAACGCCGCGUGCGGGAUGACGGCCUUCGGGUUGUAAACCGCUUUCGCCUGUGACGAAGCGUGAGUGACGGUAAUGGGUAAAGAAGCACCGGCUAACUACGUG
rnacentral:rRNA from 1 species